CUGCUAUCUGCCAAUCACGGGAAUGCCUGGAAUGUUCUGAUACCGGGUAGCCUGGUGGUUGGCGGAGUGGCGUGGGGGAUGGAGCAUUGGGCAGGGGGAUGGAGCAUUGGAAGUUAAGACCGGGUUUAGCCAUUGUUCUCUCUCUUACGUCUGUGCUUCACAAGAGAAGGCCACGGUUGGUUUAGGGAUCCGUUGGAGAGUGGCUUGGCCUUCCGCGUGGUUGACCUCACCAAGAGGUCCAAAUCGCAGCAGGUUCAACAACUCGUGGAGAAAAGCUCAGGAAAUAAAGAAAUGUUUUUUGGACUCAUGGGUCGAAGGUCCCCAAGUGGAGUCACAAGAGGAAUGGAACAAGCCCUAGUAUUACUAGAGAUGAGAUAUAACUUGAUUGUUCAAAGUUACUGGAAUAAUCAAUCUUGCUCAAAUUAUUCAUCUGGGUCAAAGCAAUCCAAUACAUGCAACAAAGUUUAAUUGAUGUAGCAUAAGUAAGGAAUGUGUAAUAAGGGUAAAUAAUUAUUUGACCCAUGUGUUUAAAAACUGGGGCAGGGAUUUGCUGCUACUAAUUGACAUUUUAUGUCUUCCUUAACUGUAUCUUUCUGUAUUCUCCUUUGCAAUACAAGCUGCUUGUCAUGUUCAAUCAAGUAUUUUUUUGUUGUUGCAUAAUAUUAGAUGGCUUGUUAUGCAUACAAACAGGUAUAUUUGUCUAACUUAAGAUAAUUCACACGAGAGCAUUACUGAACUUCAAGAUUCAUUAAUAUUUUCUGUGCUUCAUAUCAAAUACUGAUAAUUUGUCAGUGAACCCCUACACAUCUGUGGCAAUGGCUCAAUGCUGUUCAAAUUUCCUUAAUAAAAACAAUUUGUUCAAUCAAGUGCA
rnacentral:lncRNA from 1 species